rnacentral:rRNA from 1 species
UAAUACGGGGGGAGCAAGCGUUGUCCGGAUUUACUGGGCGUAAAGAGCGUGUAGGCGGGGUAGUAAGUCGGCGGUGAAAUCUCUCGGCUUAACCGAGAAUCUGCCACCGAUACUGUUACCCUUGAGUACGGAAGAGGGAAGUGGAAUUCCUGGUGUAGCGGUGAAAUGCGUAGAUAUCAGGAAGAACACCAGUAGCGAAGGCGGCUUCCUGGUCCGUAACUGACGCUGAGACGCGAAAGCGUGGGGAGCAAACAGGAUUAGAUACCCUGGUAGUCCACGCCGUAAACGAUGGGCACUAGGUGUUGGAGGUUUCGACCCCUUCAGUGCCGUAGCUAACGCAUUAAGUGCCCCGCCUGGGGAGUACGGUCGCAAGACUG